AACGAACGCUGGCGGCGUGGAUAAGACAUGCAAGUCGAGCGAGACAUUUCGGGUAGCAAUAUUCGGAAUGUUUAGCGGCGAAAGGGUGCGUAACACGUGGGUAAUUUGCCAUAAAGUUGGGGAUAACUCGCUGAAAGGCGAGCUAAUACCGGAUGUGGUUGUUUGAAAGCAUUUUCGGACAACUAAAGCUGGGGAUCGUAAGACCUGGCGCUUUAUGAUAAGCCCGCGGCCUAUCAGCUAGUUGGUGAGGUAACGGCUCACCAAGGCUAAGACGGGUAGCUGGUCUGAGAGGACGACCAGCCACACUGGAACUGAGACACGGUCCAGACACCUACGGGUGGCAG
rnacentral:rRNA from 1 species